rnacentral:rRNA from 1 species
CAGGACGAACGCUGGCGGCGUGCCUAACACAUGCAAGUCGAGCGAGGAGAUCCUUCGGGAUGAUCCUAGCGGCGGACGGGUGAGUAACACGUGGGCAACCUGCCUCAUAGAGAGGAAUAGCCUUCCGAAAGGGAGAUUAAUACCUCAUAACAUUGCAGUUUCGCAUGGAACAGCAAUUAAAGGAGCAAUCCGCUAUGAGAUGGGCCCGCGGCGCAUUAGCUAGUUGGUGAGGUAACGGCUCACCAAGGCGACGAUGCGUAGCCGACCUGAGAGGGUGAUCGGCCACAUUGGGACUGAGACACGGCCCAGACUCCUACGGGAGGCAGCAGUGGGGAAUAUUGCACAAUGGGGGAAACCCUGAUGCCAGCAACGCCGCGUGAGUGAUGACGGCCUUCGGGUUGUAAAGCUCUGUCUUCAGGGACGAUAAUGACGGUACCUGAGGAGGAAGCCACGGCUAACUACGUGCCAGCCGCCGC